rnacentral:rRNA from 1 species
UACGAAGGGGGCUAGCGUUGUUCGGAUUUACUGGGCGUAAAGGGCUCGUAGGCGGCCAACUAAGUCAGACGUGAAAUCCCUCGGCUUAACCGGGGAACUGCAUCUGAUACUGGAUGGCUUGAGUUCGGGAGAGGGAUGCGGAAUUCCAGGUGUAGCGGUGAAAUGCGUAGAUAUCUGGAGGAACACCGGUGGCGAAAGCGGCGCGCUGGAUCUCUACUGACGCUGAGGCGCGAAAGCCAGGGGAGCAAACAGG